UGUGCAGUGGAGUCCAUACUCGAUGGUAAGCUUGAUGGAUAUUGCAAGUGUGCUUGGACUGGUUUCUUGCGGGAGGCACCCUCAAAUCGAUCCUUGGUUGGACUUGCUUUCAGAAAUUUCGGGUUUGCUUGUUGUGCAUGGUUAGGAUGGACAUGUAUUUCCAGGCUUUAGUGUUCUGUUGAAUAGGGAUGUACUCUCCUUGUGCAGCAAGGGAACAUGGAGAAGAGGAGCAGAGCGUUGUGCAGCAGGGGAUGAGCUGCGCGUGGCAUCGUCUCACCUCUGUGUAGAGGAUGACCAUGCAGGACAAUGGGCUAUAGUCGGCCCAAGGCAAGUACUUUUUUUUCUUCGUUUCUCUUUGUAUUUGCUUAAAACCAAUGUUCCUAGCUGAAGAAAAAUGCCAGUUUGAGGGCUCAAAACCUAACAUAAAAAUUAGGGAGAUUCAGAGGAGUUCAAGAGGUCACUUCCAGGUUUUUUAAAAUAUUUUGACAACAGUUUUGGAUUUAAAUUCAGAUUC